rnacentral:rRNA from 1 species
UACGUAGGGGGCAAGCGUUGUCCGGAAUCAUUGGGCGUAAAGCGCGUGUAGGCGGCUCGGUAAGUCCGCUCUGAAAGUCCGGGGCUCAACCCCGGGAGGCGGGUGGAUACUGUCGAGCUCGAGUCCGGAAGAGGCGAGUGGAAUUCCUGGUGUAGCGGUGAAAUGCGCAGAUAUCAGGAGGAACACCGAUGGCGAAGGCAGCUCGCUGGGACGUGACUGACGCUGAGACGCGAAAGCUAGGGGAGCGAACAGG